GCAGAGUAGGCAUGCAUGUGACCAGUGCCCGGGGGACGGGGAGUUGUCCCCGGGACGAAGUGGUCCAUAGACCCGCAGUAUGCAUGCCGCAUCCCGCUGC
rnacentral:ncRNA from 1 species